ACGUCGAAUAUUCGCUUCCGAUGGAACACUUCCCUUCUGGCCUAUGAAGAGCCGGUAUCCCAGACAUAGGAAGUCGUCCUUUGAUGGAAACGUCCCACUCCCUGAAAAAACGGGUGAAAAACAGGGGUGCUUCCCCUUGUCUUCUUGUUCUCGUGUUUACUUCCACGGAUUUCUUUUCACAAAAGGACCGAAUUUUUCCCAUUCAUGGAAACGGAGAGAAGGACAGGAAAAAGGAAAAGAAACAAACCUCCUCUCCCUUUCCGUAUCAUUCU
rnacentral:ribozyme from 1 species